UAGGUGUGACUUUCAGGUUCCCGCAGG
rnacentral:piRNA from 1 species